UUAUGGGGGGGGGGCUUAAUACAUGCAAGUCGAGCGAACAGAUAAGGAGCUUGCUCCUUUGACGUUAGCGGCGGACGGGUGAGUAACACGUGGGUAACCUACCUAUAAGACUGGGAUAACUUCGGGAAACCGGAGCUAAUACCGGAUAACAUUUGGAACCGCAUGGUUCUAAAGUGAAAGAUGGUUUUGCUAUCACUUAUAGAUGGACCCGCGCCGUAUUAGCUAGUUGGUAAGGUAACGGCUUACCAAGGCGACGAUACGUAGCCGACCUGAGAGGGUGAUCGGCCACACUGGAACUGAGACACGGUCCAGACUCCUACGGGAGGCAGCAGUAGGGAAUCUUCCGCAAUGGGCGAAAGCCUGACGGAGCAACGCCGCGUGAGUGAUGAAGGGUUUCGGCUCGUAAAACUCUGUUAUUAGGGAAGAACAAACGUGUAAGUAACUGUGCACGUCUUGACGGUACCUAAUCAGAAAGCCACGGCUAACUACGUGCCAGCAGCCGCGGUAAUACGUAGGUGGCAAGCGUUAUCCGGAAUUAUUGGGCGUAAAGCGCGCGUAGGCGGUUUCUUAAGUCUGAUGUGAAAGCCCACGGCUCAACCGUGGAGGGUCAUUGGAAACUGGGAAACUUGAGUGCAGAAGAGGAAAGUGGAAUUCCAUGUGUAGCGGUGAAAUGCGCAGAGAUAUGGAGGAACACCAGUGGCGAAGGCGACUUUCUGGUCUGUAACUGACGCUGAUGUGCGAAAGCGUGGGGAUCAAACAGGAUUAGAUACCCUGGUAGUCCACGCCGUAAACGAUGAGUGCUAAGUGUUAGGGGGUUUCCGCCCCUUAGUGCUGCAGCUAACGCAUUAAGCACUCCGCCUGGGGAGUACGACCGCAAGGUUGAAACUCAAAGGAAUUGACGGGGACCCGCACAAGCGGUGGAGCAUGUGGUUUAAUUCGAAGCAACGCGAAGAACCUUACCAAAUCUUGACAUCCUUUGAAAACUCUAGAGAUAGAGCCUUCCCCUUCGGGGGACAAAGUGACAGGUGGUGCAUGGUUGUCGUCAGCUCGUGUCGUGAGAUGUUGGGUUAAGUCCCGCAACGAGCGCAACCCUUAAGCUUAGUUGCCAUCAUUAAGUUGGGCACUCUAGGUUGACUGCCGGUGACAAACCGGAGGAAGGUGGGGAUGACGUCAAAUCAUCAUGCCCCUUAUGAUUUGGGCUACACACGUGCUACAAUGGACAAUACAAAGGGCAGCUAAACCGCGAGGUCAUGCAAAUCCCAUAAAGUUGUUCUCAGUUCGGAUUGUAGUCUGCAACUCGACUACAUGAAGCUGGAAUCGCUAGUAAUCGUAGAUCAGCAUGCUACGGUGAAUACGUUCCCGGGUCUUGUACACACCGCCCGUCACACCACGAGAGUUUGUAACACCCGAAGCCGGUGGAGUAACCAUUUAUGGAGCUAGCCGUCGAAAGGGGAACAAAGA
rnacentral:rRNA from 1 species